GUCGCAAGAUUAAAACUCAAAGGAUAGACGGGGACCCGCACAAGCGGUGGAGCAUGUGGUUUAAUUCGACGAUACGCGAAGAACCUUACCUGGCCUUGACAUAGUUAGAACCUAAUAGAGAUAUAAGGGUGCUAGUUUACUAGAGCUAACAUACAGGUGCUGCACGGCUGUCGUCAGCUCGUGUCGUGAGAUGUUGGGUUAAGUCCCGCAACGAGCGCAACCCUCGUGUUUAGUUGCUAACAGGUUAAGCUGAGGACUCUAGACAGACUGCCUGGGUAACCAGGAGGAAGAUGAGGACGACGUCAAGUCAUCAUGGCCCUUACGGCCAGGGCUACACACGUGCUACAAUGGGAUAUACAAAGAGCAGCGAUACCGCGAGGUGGAGCAAAUCUCAUAAAAUAUCUCCCAGUUCGGAUUACACUCUGCAACUCGAGUGUAUGAAGUUG
rnacentral:rRNA from 1 species